GACGAACGCUGGCGGCGUGCUUAACACAUGCAAGUCGAACGGAAAGGCCUUUUCGGAGGUACUCGAGUGGCGAACGGGUGAGUAACACGUGGGUGAUCUGCCCUGCACUCUGGGAUAAGCCUGGGAAACUGGGUCUAAUACCGGAUAGGACCGCACUUUAGUGUGUGUGGUGGAAAGUUUUUUCGGUGUAGGAUGAGCCCGCGGCCUAUCAGCUUGUUGGUGGGGUAAUGGCCUACCAAGGCGGCGACGGGUAGCCGGACUGAGAGGUUGGUCGGCCACAUUGGGACUGAGAUACGGCCCAGACUCCUACGGGAGGCAGCAGUGGGGAAUAUUGCACAAUGGGCGCAAGCCUGAUGCAGCGACGCCGCGUGGGGGAUGACGGCCUUCGGGUUGUAAACUCCUUUCGCCAGGGACGAAGCGUUUUGUGACGGUACCUGAAGAAGAAGCACCGGCUAACUACGUG
rnacentral:rRNA from 1 species